rnacentral:lncRNA from 1 species
AUGAAUGACAGAGUUAUGACACUGGACAGGACACCAGCUCCAUGGGGGAAGUUUCAAAAAACUCUUGGCAAACAUGAUAACCAUUCAUUAAAAGCCAUAUCUUUCUGUCCAAUCCUGGCUAACCUUAUACUUUUCUUUACAGAAUCUUUCUAUCACAUUGGGUUCCAGCUCCUCUUUAUAACCCAGUUGCAGUUAACAAGAAGCACCUGCCACUCUGACUCAAUGAUAAACAUGAAGAAAUAUUCACUGUUGCAAAAACAACAGACUGGACAAAAUGUAAACAGAGUAUUACAGAAUAAGAAAUUGGAAUAUUUAAACGGGGAAGUGAAUGCUUCAGUGUGAUCCAAAGGACUUGUCUGGGAAAAGGGGUGCACUACAAAUCACAAAGGAGAAAAAUGAAUGCAUGUACUGAAACCCCCAAACAACACUUUCCAAUUGUCUUGAAGUGUACCUGGGAGCACAUAAAGAAAAUAAAGAAAAAUCUUCAAUUUACUGACUUAAAAUA